rnacentral:tRNA from 1 species
AUUUAUAUAGUUUAGGAAAACAUUACAUUUUCACUGUAAAGACAAAGGAAGACUUUUAUAAAUA